CCCAAAUUCUGAUUCUACCAGUCUGGUCUAGGGCCUACAACUAUAAACAUUUACCCAGAACCCACAUGAUUCUAACACGAGUUAUUUUCUACUCUUCCUCAGCAAAACUCUAACCUCUGACUUCCCCCUAUUAAUCAGGUGACUAAUUAUGGACAACACAGAAAAAUAUUUAUUAAAAUUAAAAAAAUGUUAUUCUGCACAUUCUGCAACUAAUAUUAACAUACUAGAAACUCUAGAAGAUUUUGGAAUUAGAGACGACAAUGUUUUCAUAGUUGCAUAUCCAAAAUCUGGUUCCAUCUGGACUCAGCAAAUAUUAAGCUUAAUUUAUUUUGAAGGACAUCGUAAAAAAACUGAAAUUGUGUCCACAAUUGAGAGAGUCCCCUUCUUUGAAUACAGAAUGAAGCCAGACGACUUUGUCAAGAGACCAUCCCUUUGCCUCUUCAUUUCCCACAUCCCAUAUUAUUUAGUACCAAAAGGUCUCAAGAACAAAAAAGCAACAUAUGUCACAGAAAUAGUUGGGGCCUUUUGCACAAAUACUUUCUUCAAAUAUUGUUUAAAUAUUUCUUCAAAUGUUGUUGUCCAGCCCCACUCAUUCAUAUCCUUUCAAAUGUGAUUAUUAUAAACUUUACGAUCUUGUUUUGCACAUUAAAAAUAUAUGGAAUUAUAGGUAUAUACAUAAAUUGGAUCACAACACACAUUGUUUUCAGUGUAACUAUAUAAUGUAUAGCAAAUUUUUUUUAUGUCAGCACAUAAAAUUCUAUUCUUUUUUAGUGGCCUAGUAGGAUUUUAUUUUAUAGCUAUAUAAUCCUGAAUGUGUAUUGAUGGACAGGUAGGUUGCAGCAAAUGUGUAUUACAUUGAAAUAAACAUUCUUAGAGAUCUUUUUUUUUGCACUUUUUUGCUCUGGUAAAAUGUUUCCCUAAAAAUGGAGUUUUCAGAUUAAAGUGUUUCAAUAUUUUAAGUGAUUACCAAAUAUUUAGAUAUUAUCUACUUGCCUUCUAUAAUCUGUCAAUUUAUACUUCAUCAAAUAGUAUGUAAGAAUGAUUUUUUCUUCACAUGCUCACCAGUGAUUGAAAUUACCGAUCUUUGCUAAUGUGCUAGAUUAAAAAAAAAAGACAAAAACAAAACCCCCCAAAACAAACAAACCAAAAAAAACCCUCAUUCUUGUCUAAUUUGCAGUCCUUUUGAUUUUAAUAAACAAACAUUUUUUUAUAUGUUUCUAGGCUUUGAAAUAGUCUUUAUAUUCUCUACCUGUGGGAACAGAACACCACAAUGACCGCAGGUGCAUAUAUUCGCUCAGGCUCCAAGAUCUUUGAGAAAACUCAAGAGACUGAAGUGAAAAAUUAAUUACCUGAAAUGACUUGAGUGAAUUACCUUGGGAAAUGUGUUCUGUUCUUUAGUGGGCAGAUAGGGAUGUUUUGCUUAAAGGAAGCCAGCUGUAUAUAGCACAGUGCAUUCACUCUCUUCUUUGUCUUUCCUUCUAUCAUAAAGAUUCUUAUCAAAACAUAUGUAUCUGCAAGACUGCUCUCGUACGCAAGAUAUGUAUGAUAGCUGAAUCAGAUGUACAUUGUUGACAUGUUUUGCUAAGUUUCGGUUGUUAACCAUUGCUAAUCUGUUUUUCCUGAAAACGUACAUAAGAAGACGCUCAAUAAACCUCAGUACCUUGG